rnacentral:rRNA from 1 species
UGAGUAACACGUGGGUGAUCUGCCCUGCACUUCGGGAUAAGCCUGGGAAACUGGGUCUAAUACCGGAUAGGAACCGUCUUUAGUGUGGUGGUUGGAAAGUUUUUCGGUGCAAGAUGAGCUCGCGGCCUAUCAGCUUGUUGGUGGGGUAAUGGCCUACCAAGGCGACGACGGGUAGCCGGCCUGAGAGGGUGGACGGCCACAUUGGGACUGAGACACGGCCCAG